GACGAACGCUGGCGGCGUGCCUAACACAUGCAAGUGGAGCGACGAACCGGGCUUCGGCCCGGGGCAAAGCCGCGAACGGGUGAGUAACACGUGGGUAACCUGCCCUGAUGAUCGGGACAACCCGAGGAAACUCGAGCUAAUACCGAAUGUGCCCUCCGGCCAUAAGGCCAAUGGGGAAAGGAAGCUUCGGCCUCCGCAUCGGGAUGGGCCCGCGGCCCAUUAGCUUGUUGGUGAGGUAACGGCUCACCAAGGCAAUGAUGGGUAGCUGGUCUGAGAG
rnacentral:rRNA from 1 species